GGGAGCUUGCUCCCUGAUGUUAGCGGCGGACGGGUGAGUAACACGUGGGUAACCUGCCUGUAAGACUGGGAUAACUCCGGGAAACCGGGGCUAAUACCGGAUGCUUGUUUGAACCGCAUGGUUCAAAUAUAAAAGGUGGCUUCGGCUACCACUUACAGAUGGACCCGCGGCGCAUUAGCUAGUUGGUGAGGUAACGGCUCACCAAGGCAACGAUGCGUAGCCGACCUGAGAGGG
rnacentral:rRNA from 2 species